ensembl:lncRNA
GAACCAAUCAGGUAAGAGUUCAUAUUUGCAUUAAGACCCUCAGCAGUGCCAUUUAUUCACAAUCAUUCACUGAGAUGGAGAGGCCAAGACUUGCUCUCAUCGUGCUCAUGUAAAAUAAUCUAUGGAGAAGAACUGGAAAUGAACGUCAAACCAGGAGACAACAUCACUCUCUUUUGUGAUCGCUCUGUAACUUUUGGUUCCAGCAUUGUAUGGAUAAGAAACUGCUCUCAUGAAAAUCAACCCUCUCUUAUAAUAGAUUUUAGGAAACUGGAUGAGGAGAUAUUUCAGCGAUUCAGCUUUAUCCACAAUCUCUAUAAUAAUUCUUACGAUCUACAUAUUACUAACAUCAGUGUCUCUGAUCUGGGACUGUACUACUGUGCAAAACUACAGAUGAAGGUAAAUGAAGAUGGAAAAGGCAUCCUCUCCCAAUCUGAGGUGUACUAUUAUGGAAACCAAACAACUCGUCUUUCUCUGAAAGUGAAUUCCUGUUCUGGACCCCUGAACACCACCUCCACACCACCUCCUGUAUCAGACUGUCUGCUCUGCUGGACGCUGCUGUUCAGUGUGUGUCCAGUGUGUUGUCUCUUCUCCUCCAUCUGUGUAUUCUGCCUCUGUUGUAGGAAAACUACAGAUUCUGCAACUGAUCAAAAACUCAAGCAGAAAGGUAGAAAUAUUAUUGAGGAAAAUUAUGAUACCGAGGUGUGUUAUGCAUCUGUGGACUUGAUGACCAGGAGACAAAACCGACACAAGAAAACACAAGCGCCAAGUUCAGAUUUCACUACUUACGCUCCUAUCCGAACAGAAGCUGAAUAGAUUAGAAAGCUGGAGGAGGUAUUAUCAUUGAAAUAUUAUUUUAAUGGCAUGUUUGUUGGUUAAAAUGUGUGUCUAUGAUUAAAUCAUAGAUGAAAAAUAUGAAACAAGAAUUCUUCUUCUUCUUUAUAAGCAGUUCUUCUUCUUUAUAAGUAUUGACAGAUAAAAAUAUUUUCUUUCAGUAAAAGUGUUUUAGUAUGUUUCCCUACAGUCUUUGUGGACACACAGUGAUGAGUAACAGGAUGUGGAAGUGGGUUUCCUGUUUUAUGUAGCGUUUAGUUUAAAGGGGUCACAAACUGCCUUUGUUUUUUAAAUUUUGUACUGUUCUCUGAGGUCCAAUUAUUAUGUUUUCAAGAUUUUUAUAUUAAAAACAUUAUUUAGAAGUAACACGCUAUUUUCUGUCCUGUUUUUAUCCCCCUCAUCAGAAUGCUCUGUUUGAAUAGUCAUGGCGGAUUGUAGAGUCGGAAGUAAACGCCCACUGAUACGAUUGACUAAUAGUUGUGUAUGUUAGAGAACGUACAUUCCUUAUAGAUGGACACUGGUGUGAUUUAGAUCAAAACACAUAAAAAAUGCACUUGGCACUGCACAGCAUCUUGUUGUAUUUAGAGCCAUCUUUAUCAUUCAGUUUCUGCGUGGACCUGUGUUGAUCUUCAGGCGUUGAUCUUCUUCUGUGGAGGCGGGGUUUAGCCACACUAUUACAUCAUAGAGUAGAACAUUCCAAAAGCUGUCGUUUUGGCAGACUACCUUUAAUAUAAGCUGUCUUUAGACUAAAGUUUUGAGUUCUGAAACUUACAGGAUUUUUAUAGUAUAAUGACCUCUUAUAUGUCAAAAGAUCAAGGGAAUUUGGUUUCUCAGUUCAUAACCCCUUUAAGCUGUGUAUAGUUCUCUUCAACUGGAUGACCGCAACAUUUAUCUGACUCAUUUUUUUUUCAAUAAGCCUCAUCAAAUUUUCCUAAAUCACACCUUUUUCCAUCCCAUUAUAGUAAUGUAUUAGAAAUUGUAAAGGAAACUAGAAAACCUAUGCCCAUUUUACAUUUAAAAUGAAAUGAGGUAGAAAUUAUUAGACAUUAUUUUAAGUUUUUCUUUUGAACCCUUGAACCCUCUGAAUUGCUCUUCAAAGGAGCUUUACACUCCUACAGUAUCUUUGUUUUCUUUCAAAGAAAGGUCAUGUCUUAUUCUCAGUAAUAAAGAUAACAAUCUUAACCA